rnacentral:snoRNA from 1 species
AUCUCCACGUUCAUUCAGAAUCUGACAGAAUCUUUCAAGGCUGCGUGGGAAAGAUUCAAGGGAUAUUAGAGAGACUGUCCUCAUCACGGGUU